AAGUCGUAACAAGGUCUCCGUAGGUGAACCUGCGGAGGGAUCAUUACUGAGUGAGGGAGCAAUCCCGACCUCCAACCCUUUGUGAACGCAUCAUGUUGCUUCGGGGGCGACCCUGCCGUUCGCGGCAUUCCCCCCGGAGGUCAUCAAAACACUGCAUUCUUACGUCGGAGUAAAAAGUUAAUUUAAUAAAACUUUCAACAACGGAUCUCUUGGUUCUG
rnacentral:misc_RNA from 1 species